rnacentral:rRNA from 1 species
UUACCCGGGGAUCUCCGAAUGGGGAAACCCACGGCUUCGGCCGUAUUACAUAAUGAAUACAUAGUUAUGUAAAGCAAACCCGGCGAAUUGAAACAUCUUAGUAGCCGGAGGAAAGGACAUCAACCGAGACUCCGUUAGUAGUGGCGAGCGAACGCGGAUCAGGCCAGUCUUUUAUAAAAUGAAAGCAGAACUGUCUGGAAAGGCAGGCUAUAAUGGGUGAUAGCCCCGUAUGCGUACAUCAUUUAAUAAAAGCUCGAGUAGGGCGGGACACGUGAAAUCCUGUCUGAACGUGGGGGGACCACCCUCCAAGCCUAAGUACUCCUUUGUCACCGAUAGCGAACUAGUACCGUGAGGGAAAGGUGAAAAGUACCCCUAUUAGGGGAGUGAAACAGAACCUGAAACCGAAUGCCUACAAGCAGUCGAAGCCUCCUUGAGAGGUGACGGCGUACCUUUUGUAUAAUGGGUCAGCGAGUUACUCUACGCAGCAAGCUUAAACCGUUAGGUGUAGGCGUAGCGAAAGCGAGUCUUAAUAGGGCGAUUUAGUUGCUUGGAGUAGACCCGAAACCGGGUGAUCUAGCUAUGAGCAGGUUGAAGGUGCGGUAACACGCACUGGAGGACCGAACCCACGUCUGUUGAAAAAGACGGGGAUGACUUGUUGCUAGGGGUGAAAGGCCAAUCAAACCCGGAGAUAGCUGGUUCUCCGCGAAAACUAUUUAGGUAGUGCGUUGUGUAUCACCAUCGGGGGUAGAGCACUGGAUGGGCUAGGGGGGAGCUAAUCCUUACCAAACCUAACCAAACUCCGAAUACCGAUGAGUGCAGCACAGCAGACAGACAUUGGGUGCUAAGGUCCAAUGUCGAAAGGGAAACAGCCCAGACCGCCAGCUAAGGUCCCCAAGUCAUGGCUAAGUGGCAAAGGAUGUGAGAAGUCCAAAACAGCCAGGAGGUUGGCUUAGAAGCAGCCAUCCUUUAAAGAUAGCGUAACAGCUCACUGGUCUAAAUAAGAUUUCUUGCGCCGAAGAUGUAUCGGGGCUAAAGCCAUGCACCGAAGCUGCGGAUGUGAUUUAUUUCACAUGGUAGCGGAGCGUUCCGUAAGCCAGUGAAGGGUUACCGCGAGGUAGCCUGGAGGUAUCGGAAGUGAGAAUGCUGACACGAGUAGCGAUAAACAGUGUGAGAGACACUGUCGCCGAAAAUCCAAGGGUUCCUGCGUAAAGCUAAUCUGCGCAGGGUGAGCCGGCCCCUAAGGCGAGGGCGAAAGCCGUAGUCGAUGGGAACCAGGUUAAUAUUCCUGGGCCUGCUGGAAGUGACGAAUGCCGUAAAUUGUAAGAACUUAUUGGAUUGUUCUUGCAGUGAAGGUGUUCCAGGAAAUAACUCCAGCUUAUAGACCGUACUCUAAACCGACACAGGUGGAUUGGUAGAGAAUACCUAGGCGCUUGAGAGAACGAUGUUGAAGGAACUCGGCAAAAUGCCCCCGUAACUUCGGGAGAAGGGGGACCCGCUCUUGGGCAACCAGGAGAGGGUGGCACAGAAUAGGGGGUGGCGACUGUUUACUAAAAACACAGGACUCUGCAAACUCGUAAGAGGACGUAUAGGGUCUGACGCCUGCCCGGUGCCGGAAGGUUAAGAGGAGGAGUGCAAGCUUUGAAUUGAAGCCCCGGUAAACGGCGGCCGUAACUAUAACGGUCCUAAGGUAGCGAAAUUCCUUGUCGGGUAAGUUCCGACCCGCACGAAUGGCGCAACGACUUCCCCACUGUCUCCAACAUCGACUCAGCGAAACUGAAUUCUCCGUGAAGAUGCGGAGUACGCGUGGUCAGACGGAAAGACCCCGUGCACCUUUACU